rnacentral:rRNA from 1 species
UACGUAGGCAGCAAGCGUUGUUCGGAGUUACUGGGCGUAAAGGGUGUGUAGGCGAUUCUUUAAGUUUGGUGUGAAAUCUCCCGGCUCAACCGGGAGGGUGCGCCGAAUACUGAGGGACUAGAGUACGGGAGAGGAAAGUGGAAUUCCUGGUGUAGCGGUGAAAUGCGUAGAUAUCAGGAGGAACACCGGUGGUGUAGACGGCUUUCUGGACCGUAACUGACGCUGAGACACGAAAGCGUGGGUAGCAAACAGG